GGGAUAGGUCGGGGAGGGGGCCCGCGGGGCCCCGGGCGGGAGGGCAGGGCCAGCCCCGCGCACAAAGGAGCCCUGGCGGCGGCCCCUCGGAGGACAAUGCAGCCCUGGGGCGCGGGGGGCUGCGCCGCGCUCCAGCUGCCUCUUCACAACGAGGCCUGCAAAUGUGCCCACUUGAUUCUAAAUCCUCUUAGGCGCUCGCGGUGUGAACCGGGAAGGGGGUGGCCCUCCAAGCCUUUGCAAUCCCAGACCUGGAGCCUGGCGCUCGGCGAGCGGUUUGCACCACGCAUGCAAAUCGAGUUGGCGUCUUGGAGACGUGGGCAGAGUCUGUUGGGUUACCAGCAAACGCCCCGAUACGGCCCUUCAGUGCCACGCGGGGUCCCGAAAAAUGUGCAGGGUGUUUCCCCUGGAAAGACUUCCUGUUAAGUGUUCAGAAAAGCCAGCUGAGCUGCGCGUCAUUAGUCACCCAGGUAUUUACACUGUUUUUCCUAUUUCCUUUCUCUCUUGGCCUCUGUGGUCAGUGGUAUAAAAUUCCUAGGAACUCCCACCUAAACACGAGCUUCCUGUUUAUGCCCUCAGUGGCUUUAAUGUCUAGCUGUUGAAAGCAGUUGACCAAAGCUCUAUGAAACGACUAGCGGAGGUUUGCAGGUGAACAGAGAGACGAGGAAAAAAAAGAACAAAACCAAAUGGGUAGGUCAAAGGUUCGGGUUCAUUUUUAAUCACUUAUGUCAGAAUCACAGGGGGAAAAGGUAAAAGUGAAGUGUAAUUUGAUGCCCAAGAUCGUGGUUCAGUUUCAUUUGGUCCCUGUGUCUACAGGAACUUGUAAAAUAUGAUGGAACCUGUAAAAUAUGAUACCUAAACUAGGAACGUUUUCCUUUCUAGCGGGUUAAAGGCUCCCCGCCUCCUCCCCCCGCAAUGUGGCGUGACACUUGUGUUAUGAAAGGUUGAAAUUCUCACAUAAGCUCAGUCUGUGAGCCCCUGUACGUGCCUUGCAGCUCCUAGGGCUGCUUCCUUAAGUGCCUGCAGCAAAAUGUUGCAUGUCUGUAGCUACCUGAACUGCAGCCUCCCCGACCUGAAAAGAACCUGAAAGGGUGCUUACUCAGCUUUUUUCUGAUGUAGAAUUCCCUGUAGGACUCCUGGGAUGUGAAGAACUACUCCCUGAUAGGAUCCCUCUGGAAUUCCUUACAUCAGAAGACAGCAUCUUUCCUUGACAAUCUGAUUUUUUUUAAAAAGAGGUUUUCUAUCCAUAAAACUGGAAUCUGCCUCCACUUAUGGAACCAUGGAGAAUUAAUCAAAUUUCUAUUUCACAUGGUAUUACCCUUCAGAUGUUUGGAGACACUCCCCACACCCUCACCCCCAGUCUUCUCCCAGCUAAACCUGCAGAUUCACCAGUCUGUCCCGUGAGUCUGAUUCCUGCACCAUCCGAGUUAUGCAGAGAUGCUUCAGUUCACCUGAGUUCCUCUGAAACUGAAAAUGGUGUUUCAAUCAUGCAGAAAUUCAGCCUAGGAGGCAGCACUGGAGAAAUAUGGCUUAAAACCAACAGGGAAAAACAGUCCAACCAUGGCCAAGUUAUUCAGACAAAAAUAAAUUCUGGUUUUCCAUUUUAGUCUUUUUCUACGCUGAGGCUAGUCAUGCCCAGCUCAGUUAUGAAGCCCAGGAAAGAAGGAAAAAGCUGUAUGGCAGGCUAGCACUGAGCCUUUCAUAUUCUUGCAUUUUAUCGUCAAAAAACCCUCUGAGUGGGUACUAUUGUUAUUCCUCUUUUACUGGCUCCAAGGUCAAAGAAUCCACGCAAGGUCACACUGCUAGCAGAGGGCAGAGUGAGGUCUCUAACUUGUGAAUUGCACUUCCAUUGCUCGAAGCUGCUGCCCUGGAGUCCAUCCUGAAAACCGAGGUCCUGGAUUGGAUGUGUUUUUCUGCGUGUUCUAUGACAUACAGCUUCAAUUCAAGGCCAGUUCGCAUACAUCCUAUUUAUACAGCUACAAAAACUUUUGAAAUGCAAGUUAAGAACUUUAUGGGAGAAGAGUUCUUUUUGGAAGCAAAUGAAACAGAAAUUCCAAGUGAGAGCCAAAAGUCAUCCCAAACAUGGUUUUAUUCCAAUGGCAUUACUUAACGGUAAAGUGUUAUAUUACCCUUGAAUUUCCUGCCUGGGCUCAGGGUAGGCCAGGCCCUGGAUGCUUUUUUGCAUUUAUCACAGCAAAGCCGUCGCCCCUUACUCACGCUGGCUCUCCAACGUGUCCGUUACUCAAGAAAAAAGGGAAGAAUGUUUCCCAUGCACGCGCUGUAAUUUUUUUUUUUUUUUUUUCGUGUUGCUCAGUCUGCCAGAACAAAAGUAAAACCACAGAAAGGAGAUUUAGAUCAGCCUCUUCAUCUGCCGGCUGUUAUGUUACAGUUUUAGGAGGGGUUGGACAUCAAACACUUGAAACUGUCAUCCAUGCAUUCCUUCUUGGAAUAAAGCAGCAUUGGCGUGGACCCCUGCUACAUUAUUUUCUACCCCCAAAUGUUGGAAACUCUUGCCCUCCAGGAAAAUACAGAAGAAAACCCUGAAUUAAGGGAGUUAGUUCUGAGAAAGUCUCUUGCGGUCUGUAAUAAACUGGCACAUAAUGACAUCUGGCCAGAUGGAUUCUCCACCUUCACAGAGAUGUUGCUUGGAUGUUUAGUUUUUCUAAUUUGUUGGUUCUUAUAAAUAGUGCUUGAGAGAACUUUUUUUUAAGUAUUUAUUUAUUUACCUGGCUGCAUCAGGUCUUAGUCGAGGCAUUCUGGAUCUUUCAUUGUGGCACACAGACUCUCUUGUUGUAGCAUAUAGGCUCCAGAGGGCUCAAUAGUUGCCUCGAGUGGGCUUAGUUGUUCUGCAGCAUGUGGGCUCUUAAUUCCUGGACCAGGAAUCAAACCGGCGUCCCCUGUAUUACAAGGCAGAUCCUUAACCACUGCAACACCAGGGAAAUCCCUGUUCAUUUUCUUCAAACUUAAUGGCAACUUAAUGCUCUAUUCUUUAUGCACUUGUUCAUGCUGUACCUUCUCUUGAUCAUGACUUGUGCGUAAGUCAGGUAACCUGGCCUAUCUGGUUUAUUACCUAGUGUACCUUCAGUAGGUCCUCAAGAAAUGCUUUUUGAAUGACAUCUUUUACAUCUUUUGUGCAUAUAUAUGUAGCUCUUAAUGCAAUUUCUCAUUCAGAUUAAUUCUUUGGUCAAAUUACUAGAGACAGAAAGAACACAAUUGUUUAAUAGGUGAAGGGUGUCAAUAGGGGAGGAGAAAAAAGUUCUGCAGGUGGAUGGUGGUGAUGGUGGCCCAACAAUGUGAAUGUAGUUGAUGCUUCUGAACUGUACAUUUUAAAGUGGUUACAAUGGUAAAUUUUAUAAUAUAUGUCUUUUACCACAGUAAAAAUAAAUGAAUACUUUGACUUGGAAUUCUUGGGCUAAGAGGGCAGAUGGUUCCCCUCCCAUGUCCUCACGCUUCUGCCUGUUCACCUGCGUCCUGGCCGGGCCACUUCCUUGUGGGACAUCCUUCUUCUCCAAGGAAGAGAUGCUUGAAGGAUGACGACACUCAAAGGCUGCCAUCAUCCGAGGGCAUAGCCCCAGGCAGCAGCCCCUCUGAUCACCUCAUCCAGGACUCAGCUGCCUUCACGUGCCCACACUCUUCCUACAGACAUUCUUAAUUUGCUAAUUCUAUUAUUUACAUAUUUUUGUGGGGGAGGAGGUCUUUGUGUUGUGUAGCUUUUGAUCUAGACCAGGGGUCCCCAACUUCUGAGAUCUAAUGCUUGAUGAUCUGCGAUGGAGCUGAUGUAAUAAUGAUAGAAAUAAAGUGCACAUAAUAAUACAAA
ensembl:lncRNA